rnacentral:ncRNA from 1 species
UAGUAGCUUUUGUGUGUCGGUGUUUUCGCUUGUAGCCCGCAAGGGUUAGAAUCUGCCGCCUAAGAGAGCUCUCCUGCCUUAUUUGUAGCUGGCAUUUUGGGCUACGCAACAUAAGUAGCGGUUAUUUGGGU